rnacentral:rRNA from 1 species
UACGUAGGGACCAAGCGUUGUUCGGAUUUACUGGGCGUAAAGGGCGCGUAGGCGACUUGACAAGUCACUUGUGAAAUCUCCGGGCUUAACUCGGAACGGCCAAGUGAAACUGUCAUGCUAGAGUGCAGAAGGGGCAAUCGGAAUUCUUGGUGUAGCGGUGAAAUGCGUAGAUAUCAAGAGGAACACCUGAGGUGAAGACGGGUUGCUGGGCUGACACUGACGCUGAGGCGCGAAAGCCAGGGGAGCAAACGGG